rnacentral:rRNA from 1 species
GGCCCCCCCUCGCGGGGGGCCGCGGGGGCGGGGGGGCGCGGGGGGCCGGGAGCGCCCGGCGGCGGCGACUCUGGACGCGCGCCGGGCCCUUCCUGUGGAUCGCCCCAGCUGCGGCGCGCGCCUCUCCCCCGCGCCGUCCCCCUCCUGCGCCUCCCCCCGUCAGGGGACGGGGCGCGNGCNGCGGGGCGGCCGGGGCGGGCCC